rnacentral:tRNA from 1 species
CGUUUUAGAAACAUUCAGGGCCAACAGUUUCAGGAUUGUUGAGCUCCAUUGGCGGGAUUUCGCCGUCUUCGUUUCUCUUUCUUCGCGGACGAACACGCGCCAGGGCUGAGCGCUGUGCGACGCACCGACGUAAGUCGGGUGCGCGCCGGCAUGUCCCUCGUGUUAGGGGCUUGUAGCUCAGUUGGUUAGAGCGCGCGCUUGAUAAGCGUGAGGUCGGAAGUUCAAGUCUUCCCAGGCCCACCAUUUUGAUCGAGUGCGAAGCAUUCGUCUUCUGGUACGGGGCCAUAGCUCAGCUGGGAGAGCGCGUGCUUUGCAAGCAUGAGGUCGUCGGUUCGAUCCCGUCUGGCUCCACCAGAUGGAAUUGAAGCUCGACAAUGCGCCUUGUGCAGGAAGCUCUGUUCAAAUCGUCCGCGAAACAUCACUUCGCACUCAUUGGUCCGGAUGGACGGUGACGUGCGUGUUUUCUGACAUCGUAAAGAGGAGAUCGAUCCGAGUUUGGAUCUGCGAAGCAAUUCGCGGGUACCAUUCCUAAUCUCCAGAUCGUUUUCGGCGCUCGUGCAUCGCAGCUCAUCGCAAGAUGAGUGAGAUGAGCGAGUUGUAAAACGAUCUUUGUAGCGAAGCUUGACCGCCUCGCUAUCGGGCCGAUCUUAAGAAGCAAGCUGGUCUUUCUAGUCAAUGUCCGGCUGUGCAAUCGCAUUCAUCGAGGAUGCGCGCCUAGGACUUCGGUCUUUGGGCAGUUGUGCAGACAACAUUCUGCCGAGUGUGUGGACAUUGAUAAUGAGAGCAUCAAGUGCCUUAAGGGUGUCUCGGUG